rnacentral:tRNA from 1 species
ACGCCGUUAGUCUAGCGGAAGGGCGGCAGUCUCCAAAACUGCAAGCGGGGGUUCGAUUCCCUCACGGCGUGCCA